UCUCCUCUCCCACAUCUGUGAGAGAGGGGCAUAUAAAUUAUAUACUGAUGAGGAAGGAUUGUCUUGUGGGUAAGGCACAAGCUUGGGUGUCAGGAGACAUGGUGUCAAAGCCAGGAAUAGACCCUAAUUCACUAUGUGACCCUAGGCGAGUCAGUUUCCUCUCUGUGCCUCAGUUUCCCUAUAUGUAAAAAUAGAUAUUUUGCUCUCUCCUGUCUGUUCCUCUUUUGGCAUCUUUAACAUACCUAUCACUGUGGUGUCUAGGCACUGAUACUUCACAAUGGGAUGAUGAUAAUUUAUUAAAAUUCGUAAAGGUUUAUAAGAUCCUUGGAAAUUAGGCAUGAGGGAAAGGAAGUGUAUUAGCAUGAAUACUGUUAAGUGAACAUACUGAACCUUUUUCAGGCUAUCCUGUGCCACCAGGAAAACCACAGCCCUUAGAAAUAUUUCUAAGUAGCUCUUCAUAUGGUUGGGGCAACUCCUGGAGCCCUGGUCUAUACUCCACUUCUGAAUAGAUUUCCCUAGAGGAUGGUAUUUUAAGGGUUAACAUGGACCACAAGAGGAGGAGCAGGACAGCCAGCUAAAUGAUACAGCUCCCUGCAACUUGGUUUGCAGUGAGAGCUUGAGGUGGGAGGAGAGGAUGCUAUAGCCGAACCCCGGGAAGGAUGGAUACAGGUUCCUUGUAUAUUCUGAGUCCAAUGGCUGUGCUCAUGAUCUUUGCUCUAUCUUAUCUAUCACUUUAACUUUCCCACUGACUGAAGACUGCAUCUGAAGUUGGUGUUCUGAGCUCAACCACAUUUUCCUGUAACAUAUUGAUAUUCAGGGGGAAGGGAAAGUGGAUUCCUACAAAAUUUCAAGGUCACCUCCUUGAGAGCUGAUAGCAUUAACACAUCACAUCCAUAGAUACACAGGUACUGAGGCUCAGGCUCGGUCACUGUUCCUCACAAACACACUCAGGGCUUGGCUACACUUGUGAGGUAGAGCGCAUUCAGGCAGCCCUGGGCGUCCUAACUCCUGACACGUCCACACUGGCAAGGCACGUAGAGUGCCUGGACUCUGUGGGUGGAGCGCUCCUGGUAAUCCACCUCCACGAGAAGCAUAACGCUUGCUGCACCACAUAACGCGGUUGGAGCGCCGCGGCGCCAGUGUGGACGCCCUGGUCUAUUAAUGCGCUCUGAUUGGCCUCCAGAAGUGUCCCACAUUGCCUGUUCUAGCCAUUCUGGUCAUCACUUUGAACUCUACUGCCCUGCCCUCAGGUGACCAACUGUCAGACCCACCCUUUAAAUUAUCUGGGAAUUUUGAAAAUCCCCUUCCUGUUUGCUCAGCAAGGCGUGGAGUGCUCUCAGCGAAUCUUUCCAGGUGACCAUGCCUCCAUGCGCCAGGCGAUCCCCAGUAUGGAGCAAUGGCGAGGUCCCGAACCUCAUCAGUGUUUAGGGGAAGGAAGCUGUCCAGUCCCAGCUGCGCUCCAGCCAUAGGAAUUACAAUACCUUCGGGCAGAUAUCAGGGGACAUAAUGGAAAGGGGCAGUGCAUCCCGAAGUGAAGGAGCUGCGGAAUGCCUAUUGGAAAGCGCACAAGGCAAACUGCCACUCUGGUGCUGCCCCCGUGACCUGCCAUUUCUACAAAGAGCUGGAUACAAUACUUGGGGGUGACCCCACCUCCACUCCAAAGACCAUCAUGGACACUUCAGAGCCCAGUUCAACAAGGCAGGAGGAGGAGGAAAGCGGGAGCAAGGGUGCUGAGGAGGAGGGAGACAGCCCGGUAUCCCUAGAUGCAUGCAGCCAGGAGCUGUUUUCAAGCCAGCAGGAAGGUAGCCAGUUGCAGCAGCUGAUGCUUUGGGAAGACCAAACACCAGAAGAGGUGCCCGAUGCAACUUUGAGAUCCCAGCCGUCCUUGUUAUCAACGGCCGAAAGACUCCAAAGAAUCAGGAAACAUCCGCGAAGAAGCAAAGAGGACAUGCUGCAUGAAGUCAUGCAGUAGCCCCUUAAUGAAAAUCAAAAAGUGCAGGAGUGGAGGGAGAGUGAAAGGAGGGUCCGCCAGCAGAAUGCGGAUUGUUGGCACCAAAGCACAAAGCAGCUGCUAAGCAUCAUGGAGUGCUAAGCGGACUCGAUACAGGCACUCGUAGCAAUGCAGGCAGAGUACUUCCGCGCCCGCUCCCCCCUGCAGCCCUUGUCCCAAAACUCUUUCCCUUGUGCCACCAUGUCACUGCCAACCCACUUUCCCCAACAUCCGGGUUCUUAUCGCCACCAGCUGCCUCCAACACCUGUAGCUUCACCACCUAGCCGUGCAAACUACAACCCUUACCCACUGCACUCAACCCCCAUCACCAUGCAUUUUAGCCAGCCUGAAGUGCAGCACUCAUUGCAUGGCCCUCCAGACAGGAAGGCUGAGUAUGAUAACCGGACAUACACAAAUCUGUGACUGUCCCAUUCCCCACCCCACCCCUUUCCCUUAUCCCACACAGCACAGAUGUAUCAUGCCCUUUCUGUUUCCCAAGCAGUUGUGUUUCUUGUCAAUAAAUGAAUUUUUUGGCUUUGAAAA